rnacentral:rRNA from 1 species
CAGCCGCCGCGGGAAUACGGAGGGUGCAAGCGUUAUCCGGAUUUAUUGGGUUUAAAGGGUCCGUAGGCGGAUCUGUAAGUCAGUGGUGAAAUCUCACAGCUUAACUGUGAAACUGCCAUUGAUACUGCAGGUCUUGAGUAAAUUUGAAGUGGCUGGAAUAAGUAGUGUAGCGGUGAAAUGCAUAGAUAUUACUUAGAACACCAAUUGCGAAGGCAGGUCACUAAGAUUUAACUGACGCUGAUGGACGAAAGCGUGGGGAGCAAACAGGAUUAGAUACCCCCGUAGUCCCUGUCUCUUAUAC